rnacentral:rRNA from 1 species
UGCAGUCGAACGAUGAUCCCAGCUUGCUGGGGGAUUAGUGGCGAACGGGUGAGUAACACGUGAGUAACCUGCCCUUAACUCUGGGAUAAGCCUGGGAAACUGGGUCUAAUACCGGAUAUGACUCCUCAUCGCAUGGUGGGGGGUGGAAAGCUUUUUGUGGUUUUGGAUGGACUCGCGGCCUAUCAGCUUGUUGGUGAGGUAAUGGCUCACCAAGGCGACGACGGGUAGCCGGCCUGAGAGGGUGACCGGCCACACUGGGACUGAGACACGGCCCAGACUCCUACGGGAGGCAGCAGUGGGGAAUAUUGCACAAUGGGCGAAAGCCUGAUGCAGCGACGCCGCGUGAGGGAUGACGGCCUUCGGGUUGUAAACCUCUUUCAGUAGGGAAGAAGCGAAAGUGACGGUACCUGCAGAAGAAGCGCCGGCUAACUACGUGCCAGCAGCCGCGGUAAUACGUAGGGCGCAAGCGUUAUCCGGAAUUAUUGGGCGUAAAGAGCUCGUAGGCGGUUUGUCGCGUCUGCCGUGAAAGUCCGGGGCUCAACUCCGGAUCUGCGGUGGGUACGGGCAGACUAGAGUGAUGUAGGGGAGACUGGAAUUCCUGGUGUAGCGGUGAAAUGCGCAGAUAUCAGGAGGAACACCGAUGGCGAAGGCAGGUCUCUGGGCAUUAACUGACGCUGAGGAGCGAAAGCAUGGGGAGCGAACAGGAUUAGAUACCCUGGUAGUCCAUGCCGUAAACGUUGGGCACUAGGUGUGGGGGACAUUCCACGUUUUCCGCGCCGUAGCUAACGCAUUAAGUGCCCCGCCUGGGGAGUACGGCCGCAAGGCUA